GACGAACGCUGGCGGCGUGCUUAACACAUGCAAGUCGAACGGAAAGGCCCUGCUUUUGUGGGGUGCUCGAGUGGCGAACGGGUGAGUAACAAGUGAGUAACCUGCCCUUGACUUUGGGAUAACUUCAGGAAACUGGGGCUAAUACCGGAUAGGAGCUCCUGCUGCAUGGUGGGGGUUGGAAAGUUUCGGCGGUUGGGGAUGGACUCGCGGCUUAUCAGCUUGUUGGUGGGGUAGUGGCUUACCAAGGCUUUGACGGGUAGCCGGCCUGAGAGGGUGACCGGCCACAUUGGGACUGAGAUACGGCCCAGACUCCUACGGGAGGCAGCAGUGGGGAAUAUUGCACAAUGGGCGGAAGCCUGAUGCAGCAACGCCGCGUGCGGGAUGACGGCCUUCGGGUUGUAACCCGCUUUCGCCUGUGACGAAGCGUGAGUGACGGUAAUGGGUAAAGAAGCACCGGCUAACUACGUG
rnacentral:rRNA from 1 species